CCAAUAGCGUAUAUUAAAGUUGUUGCAGUUAAAAAGCUCGUAGUUGAAUUUCGGGAUUAGUACGCUGGUCGUGCCUUCGGUAUGUACCGGUGUUACUGGUUUCUACCUUCUGACGAACCGUCAUGUCAUUAAUUUGGUGUGGCGUGGAAUCAGGACUGUUACUUUGAAAAAAUUAGAGUGUUUAAAGCAGGCUCGCGCUUGAAUACAUUAGCAUGGAAUAAUGAAAUAGGACGUUCGAUCCUAUUUUGUUGGUUUCUAGGAUUGACGUAAUGAUUAAUAGGGAUAGUUGGGGGGAUUAGUAUUCAAUUGUCAGAGGUGAAAUUCUUGGAUUUAUUGAAGACUAACUACUGCGAAAGCAUUUGCCAAGGAUGUUUUCAUUAGUCAAGAACGAAAGUUAGGGGAUCUAAGACGAUCAGAUACCGUCGUAGUCUUAACCAUAAACUAUGCCGACUAGGGAUCGGAUGAUGUUGAUUUUUUAAUGACUCAUUCGGCGCCUUACG
rnacentral:rRNA from 1 species